AAUGUUACUUGAAACUCAGGUGGGAUACUCAUACUUGAUUCAAAAUGUUUUUCAGUGAAAUUGUGCAAAUAUUGCAAAUAUAACGCGUAUGUUGUGCGAUUCAACUGAGAAACUCGAAGUUCCGGUUUAUAAUAGGUGAAGUUUUUAAGCCUUAAGAUAUUGACCAAUCACAGUGGAAUGUAAGGAGAAUAACCGAUUGUGAUUUGAGCUUCUAAAAUGAUAUAUAUUGCACACGGAAAAGGUGCGAUAUCACGUAGAAUGUUAUCGCGUUAUCUUUUCCGUGUGCGUUGUAUCAUUUCAGCAGCUUCAGUAGCAUCUUUUUCCCGUAUGAAUUAUUUCAUACGAAUAUGGUGCGAGAUAUUUGAAAAUGGAGAUCUUAAUCUUACUGAGCAAAUUCAGGACCGUCUGAAAAAUGUGUAGAUAAUAAAUUAAGCAAACAUUAGGUGAAAAUUUGGCACAAACCUGUUGCCUGUGUCCAUGCGUGGUGACACCUCGCAAGAGAGUUUGAUAAGCUGGUGAAUUAUCACUUAUCAGUAGCCAGUCACUAUCAAAAUCGAUCUUCGAUUAUAAACGCACACGAAAAAAACGGAAAGAUGACGAAUAUUAAAUAUCGAUCUUGAGAGAAGAAUCAUUUAUCGAUACUGGUCUGCUUAAGGGGGUAUCCUGGUGCUAAGAAAUGAGAUAAAUUUAGGAUUUUUUUUUUUUUUUAGAGAAAACUGUAAUUCCGAUGAAAUUGAAGUCUUAGGAGAACAUUUUUAUAAACACUUAAUUAAAAAAAUAUACAUUUUUUCAAAAUGUUUCGUAAAGACUUGGCCGAGUUAUAUGCCGUAUCGCACCGUAUCGAGGCACCGUUUCGCGCUACAAAGGACAUAAAAUAGAGGAUAAAAAAUAUUCUGCCGAGUACAUUUUUCCCCUUAGGACAUGUUAAUUGGUCGUUAGAAGAAAAUAGUGUUCUCCUACAUUUACUAAUUUGUCCCUACAGCAAGGUAAUUUGCAGAUUCAGUAAAAUCUAAUCUAGCGAACGGCGUAUUUUUUCAGAAAAGGACAUCGCGCGAACAUCCGAUGACGACUGUUUCAUAAUUAACUGCAACAAUAAUUACCGAUUCGAGUUUAUGUUGCUGACCCGAUGACGCUGAUGGAUUAGUUCGAUAUGUGUCUACUUGUUCGUCGUACACGUUCAUAUCGGAAAAAUAUGAUGAGCUAGCGAUGGGACCGAGCCGACGAGCCUUGAGAACGACGGGCGGAACUGCGCGGGAAAACAGGUUUCGAUUUCGCCUUUUCGAGGGGAGGACGUCGGCGAUGGGGAACGAAGGCUGCGCGUAUAUUUCCGCGGAAUAUCUGCCCUCCUAGAGGAGGAGGUCCGUGGGGAGCUUUCGGGAGGAAAAAUCGUUCGGGUGGAAAGCGCCGCCUCGGGAAAAUCGACGGCCGAGCGUCGUUCCCAUCGCUGUGUCCGGAGGACACCGGAGGAGAGGCGGAAAGAGAGAGAAGUGGGUAUGCACUCCGCGGCCCACCCACGUUACGAUAUAAUGGGCAAUUAAUGGCCACAGUGGACCGGCCGAUCCGCUGAAUGCCAAUCGGCCACGGGAAGCGCCACGCUGGCCACGACGACGAAGCCUCUCCCGUUUAACCCUUUUCGCUCUCUCUCUCCUCUCCGUCCGCUCGCUCGAUUCGUGCUCUCCAUAUGGCGACGCGAUUCGCGCGAGAGAGGUCUCGGCUAUAAUUAGAACGCACCACGCUCUCGUACGCGAGGCGUGUUAAGCCUUUUUAAGCGUUUCGAUUUUUCAACGAGCCCCUCUCUCUCUCUCGUUGUCACUUCUUCGUGUCCGCUUCUCCGGCAUUUCUCCGCUCGCUCGCGAGUGAGCGAGCGAGCGCGGUUUUCAAAUACCCGCGGCAUUUCGCGACGACGAAAGGACGGAGAGAACGAACUUCAUGCAUAUACAUAUCGCGGUACGUCAGCAAGGACCUUGCGCCAACCUAGUUCCAGUCCUGCGUGAUAGUGCACGUUCACACGCGACGGUAGAGCGUAUCCUUUGCUUCUUAUCACUUCUUAAUUGGGUCAAUGUCGUCGUCGCCGCCGCAUGCGACGACGCUUUCUUUCUUCAGCCAGUACAUACCGCCGUGGUACUUGCUGACCUAAAAGUCGCUUGCUCGAGCGACUCCUCCGCAGGGUGGCGUGUUUUUCCUCUCAACGACGGGGUAUUCACACUCGAAUCUUAUAUCUGAGUUCAUCUCCAGAUGCUUCGUAACUGAUGAGUCGUAUAGCAUCCGUGAACUUAAGACGGUCUUGUAUAAUAAGAUUCGACUGUGAAUACCGGAUCUAGAGAUGCUCGCCGAGUCUGCAGAACUCGCGCGUGUCUGCUUGUCGAUUUUGCCGAUAGCUUGCCAGCAGAACAUCAUGACGAUGAUUAGCGAUAGAGACCGGACAUGAUCUGUCGUAUCGUCGCUAUUUAUACUGAAAUGAGAUAUGCUACAAAUCCCGCUUGGUUUCUGCCGCCGACCCGCUGUCGAGUUAUGUCAGCAGGUUCUAUCGACAAAACACAAGCUUAACGUCUAAUACAGAUGGCUGUUACGGUACGAUCUGAUCGAAUCUUCCGCCAACACUGGCUGCGUUCGGGAAACAUAACGGUUGUACAACGGUCGAGUAAUUUGUUCAAUCGGCCUAAAUUUAUGGAUUUAACAGUAAAAACCAAUAAAUCAUUGACUAAU